rnacentral:piRNA from 1 species
UCACGCAGGUGCUUAAAGGGACAUUGU